UACGUAGGGGGCUAGCGUUGUCCGGAUUUAUUGGGCGUAAAGAGCGUGUAGGCGGCCAGGUAGGUCUGGUGUGAAAACUCGAGGCUUAACCUCGAGAUGUCAUCGGAAACCAUCUGGCUAGAGUCCGGAAGAGGAAAGUGGAAUUCCUGGUGUAGCGGUGAAAUGCGCAGAUAUCAGGAAGAACACCCGUGGCUAAGGCGGUUCUCUAGUACGGUACUGACGCUGAGACGCGAAAGCGUGGGGAGCGAACAGG
rnacentral:rRNA from 1 species